GAUGAACGCUGGCGGCAUGCCUUACACAUGCAAGUCGAACGGUAACAGGUCUUCGGAUGCUGACGAGUGGCGAACGGGUGAGUAAUACAUCGGAACGUGCCUAGUAGUGGGGGAUAACUACUCGAAAGAGUGGCUAAUACCGCAUGAGAUCUACGGAUGAAAGCAGGGGAUCGCAAGACCUUGUGCUACUAGAGCGGCCGAUGGCAGAUUAGGUAGUUGGUGGGAUAAAAGAUUACCAAGCCGACGAUCUGUAGCUGGUCUGAGAGGACGAUCAGCCACACUGGGACUGAGACACGGCCCAGACUGCUACGGGAGGCAGCAGUGGGGAAUUUUGGACAAUGGGCGAAAGCCUGAUCCAGCAAUGCCGCGUGCAGGAUGAAGGCCUUCGGGUUGUAAACUGCUUUUGUACGGAACGAAAAGCCCCGGGUUAAUACCCUGGGGUCAUGACGGUACCGUAAGAAUAAGCACCGGCUAACUACGUGCCUGCAGCCGCCGCCG
rnacentral:rRNA from 1 species